rnacentral:rRNA from 1 species
ACUAUCAUUAACUGAAUCCAUAGGUUAAUGAGGCGAACCGGGGGAACUGAAACAUCUAAGUACCCCGAGGAAAAGAAAUCAACCGAGAUUCCCCCAGUAGCGGCGAGCGAACGGGGAGGAGCCCAGAGCCUGAAUCAGCAUGUGUGUUAGUGGAAGCGUCUGGAAAGGCGCGCGAUACAGGGUGACAGCCCCGUACACAAAAGCGCAUGUGUUGUGAGCUCGAUGAGUAGGGCGGGACACGUGGUAUCCUGUCUGAAUAUGGGGGGACCAUCCUCCAAGGCUAAAUACUCCUGACUGACCGAUAGUGAACCAGUACCGUGAGGGAAAGGCGAAAAGAACCCCGGCGAGGGGAGUGAAAAAGAACCUGAAACCGUGUACGUACAAGCAGUGGGAGCACAGGUUUACCUGUGUGACUGCGUACCUUUUGUAUAAUGGGUCAGCGACUUAUAUUCUGUAGCAAGGUUAACCGUAUAGGGGAGCCGGAGGGAAACCGAGUCUUAAUUGGGCGUUAAGUUGCAGGGUAUAGACCCGAAACCCGGUGAUCUAGCCAUGGGCAGGUUGAAGGUUGGGUAACACUAACUGGAGGACCGAACCGACUAAUGUUGAAAAAUUAGCGGAUGACCUGUGGCUGGGGGUGAAAGGCCAAUCAAACCGGGAGAUAGCUGGUUCUCCCCGAAAGCUAUUUAGGUAGCGCCUCGUGAAUUCAUCUCCGGGGGUAGAGCACUGUUUCGGCUAGGGGGCCAUCCCGGCUUACCAACCCGAUGCAAACUGCGAAUACCGGAGAAUGUUAUCACGGGAGACACACGGCGGGUGCUAACGUCCGUCGUGAAGAGGGAAACAACCCAGACCGCCAGCUAAGGUCCCAAAGUCAUGGUUAAGUGGGAAACGAUGUGGGAAGGCCCAGACAGCCAGGAUGUUGGCUUAGAAGCAGCCAUCAUUUAAAGAAAGCGUAAUAGCUCACUGGUCGAGUCGGCCUGCGCGGAAGAUGUAACGGGGCUAAACCAUGCACCGAAGCUGCGGCAGCGACGCUUAUGCGUUGUUGGGUAGGGGAGCGUUCUGUAAGCCUGUGAAGGUGGCCUGUGAGGGUUGCUGGAGGUAUCAGAAGUGCGAAUGCUGACAUAAGUAACGAUAAAGCGGGUGAAAAGCCCGCUCGCCGGAAGACCAAGGGUUCCUGUCCAACGUUAAUCGGGGCAGGGUGAGUCGACCCCUAAGGCGAGGCCGAAAGGCGUAGUCGAUGGGAAACGGGUUAAUAUUCCCGUACUUGGUGUUACUGCGAAGGGGGGACGGAGAAGGCUAUGUUGGCCGGGCGACGGUUGUCCCGGUUUAAGCGUGUAGGUGUGUGUUCCAGGUAAAUCCGGUUCACUUUAACACUGAGGCGUGAUGACGAGGCACUACGGUGCUGAAGCAACAAAUGCCCUGCUUCCAGGAAAAGCCUCUAAGCAUCAGGUAACAUCAAAUCGUACCCCAAACCGACACAGGUGGUCAGGUAGAGAAUACCAAGGCGCUUGAGAGAACUCGGGUGAAGGAACUAGGCAAAAUGGUGCCGUAACUUCGGGAGAAGGCACGCUGACACGUAGGUGAAGUGAUUUACUCAUGGAGCUGAAGUCAGUCGAAGAUACCAGCUGGCUGCAACUGUUUAUUAAAAACACAGCACUGUGCAAACACGAAAGUGGACGUAUACGGUGUGACGCCUGCCCGGUGCCGGAAGGUUAAUUGAUGGGGUCAGCGCAAGCGAAGCUCCUGAUCGAAGCCCCGGUAAACGGCGGCCGUAACUAUAACGGUCCUAAGGUAGCGAAAUUCCUUGUCGGGUAAGUUCCGACCUGCACGAAUGGCGUAAUGAUGGCCAGGCUGUCUCCACCCGAGACUCAGUGAAAUUGAACUCGCUGUGAAGAUGCAGUGUACCCGCGGCAAGACGGAAAGACCCCGUGAACCUUUACUAUAGCUUGACACUGAACAUUGAGCCUUGAUGUGUAGGAUAGGUGGGAGGCUUUGAAGUGUGGACGCCAGUCUGCAUGGAGCCGACCUUGAAAUACCACCCUUUAAUGUUUGAUGUUCUAACGUGGACCCGUAAUCCGGGUUGCGGACAGUGUCUGGUGGGUAGUUUGACUGGGGCGGUCUCCUCCUAAAGAGUAACGGAGGAGCACGAAGGUUGGCUAAUCCUGGUCGGACAUCAGGAGGUUAGUGCAAUGGCAUAAGCCAGCUUGACUGCGAGCGUGACGGCGCGAGCAGGUGCGAAAGCAGGUCAUAGUGAUCCGGUGGUUCUGAAUGGAAGGGCCAUCGCUCAACGGAUAAAAGGUACUCCGGGGAUAACAGGCUGAUACCGCCCAAGAGUUCAUAUCGACGGCGGUGUUUGGCACCUCGAUGUCGGCUCAUCACAUCCUGGGGCUGAAGUAGGUCCCAAGGGUAUGGCUGUUCGCCAUUUAAAGUGGUACGCGAGCUGGGUUUAGAACGUCGUGAGACAGUUCGGUCCCUAUCUGCCGUGGGCGCUGGAGAACUGAGGGGGGCUGCUCCUAGUACGAGAGGACCGGAGUGGACGCAUCACUGGUGUUCGGGUUGUCAUGCCAAUGGCACUGCCCGGUAGCUAAAUGCGGAAGAGAUAAGUGCUGAAAGCAUCUAAGCACGAAACUUGCCCCGAGAUGAGUUCUCCCUGAGACUUAGAGUCUCCUGAAGGAACGUUGAAGACGACGACGUUGAUAGGCCGGGUGUGUAAGCGCAGCGAUGCGUUGAGCUAACCGGUACUAAUGAACCGUGAGGCUUAACCUU